rnacentral:rRNA from 1 species
GCAUAACGCGAAGAACCUUACCAGGUUUUGACAUCCCUCUGACUGAUCCUUAACCGGAUCUUCUCUUCGGAGCAGAGGUGACAGGUGGUGCAUGGUUGUCGUCAGCUCGUGUCGUGAGAUGUUGGGUUAAGUCCCGCAACGAGCGCAACCCUUAUCUUUAGUAGCCAGCAGUUCGGCUGGGCACUCUAGAGAGACUGCCAGGGAUAACCUGGAGGAAGGUGGGGAUGACGUCAAAUCAUCAUGCCCCUUAUGAUCUGGGCUACACACGUGCUACAAUGGUGAUAACAAAGUGAAGCAGCCUCGUGAGAGUGAGCAAAUCACAAAAAAGUCAUCUCAGUUCGGAUUGUAGUCUGCAACUCGACUACAUGAAGCUGGAAUCGCUAGUAAUCGCGAAUCAGAAUGUCGCGGUGAAUACGUUCCCGGGUCUUGUACACACCGAGGUCGGUGGGGGA